GAUGAACGCUGGCGGCGUGCCUAAUGCAUGCCAGUCGAGCGAACGGACUAGAAGCUUGCUUCUCUGAUGUUAGCGGCGGACGGGUGAGUAACACGUGGAUAACCUACCUAUAAGACUGGGAUAACUUCGGGAAACCGUAGCUAAUACCGGAUAAUAUUUUGAACCGCAUGGUUCAAAAGUGAAAGACGGUCUUGCUGUCACUUAUAGAUGGAUCCGCGCUGCAUUAGCUAGUUGGUAAGGUAACGGCUUACCAAGGCAACGAUGCAUAGCCGACCUGAGAGAGUGAUAGGCCACACUAGAGCUGGGACACGGUCCAGACGCCUGCGAGAGGCAGCAGUAGGGAAUCUUCCGCAGUGGGCGAAAGCCUGGCGGAGCAACGCCGCGUGAGUGAUGAAGGUCUUCGGAUCGUAAAACUCUGUUAUUAGGGGAGAACAUAUGUGUAAGUAACUGUGCACAUCGUGACGGUACCUAAUCAGAAAGCCACGGCUAACUACGUG
rnacentral:rRNA from 1 species